rnacentral:tRNA from 1 species
GCCUCUGUAGCCCAGUUGGUAGAGCGCGGCACUAGUAAUGCCGAGGUCUUGAGUUCGACUCUCAACGGAGGCA